CCUACGGGUGGCAGCAGUGAGGAAUAUUGGUCAAUGGACGAGAGUCUGAACCAGCCAAGUAGCGUGAAGGAUGACUGCCCUAUGGGUUGUAAACUUCUUUUAUAUGGGAAUAAAAUGUUCCACGUGUGGGAUUUUGUAAGUACCUUAUGAAUAAGGAUCGGCUAACUCCGUGCCAGCAGCCGCGGUAAUACGGAGGAUCCGAGCGUUAUCCGGAUUUAUUGGGUUUAAAGGGAGCGUAGGUGGAUUGUUAAGUCAGUUGUGAAAGUUUGCGGCUCAACCGUAAAAUUGCAGUUGAUACUGGCAGUCUUGAGUACAGUAGAGGUAGGCGGAAUUCGUGGUGUAGCGGUGAAAUGCUUAGAUAUCACGAAGAACUCCGAUUGCGAAGGCAGUUCACUGGACUGCAACUGACACUGAGGCUCGAAAGUGUGGGUAUCAAACAGGAUUAGAUACCCCUGUAGUC
rnacentral:rRNA from 1 species